GAAUAUUACUCAGCUGUAAAAAAAAGAAUGAACUCUUGUCAUUUGCAAGCACAUGGACGGACAUAGAGAGUAUAAUGCUAAGUGACAUAAGUCAGAGAAGGGCAAACACCA